rnacentral:misc_RNA from 1 species
AGCAGCCGCGGUAAUUCCAGCUCCAACAGCGUAUAUUAAAGUUGUUGCAGUUAAAAAGCUCGUAGUUGAAUUUCGGGAUCAAAGGAUCGGUCAUGCCUUGGUAUGUACUGGUUUUAUUGGUUCUCACCUUCUAAAGAACCAUAAUGUCAUUCAUUUGAUGUUAUGGGGGAUUAGGACUGUUACCUUGAAAAAAUUAGAGUGUUUAAAGCAGGCUUACGCUUGAAUACAUUAGCAUGGAAUAAUGAAAUAGGACGUUUGAUUCUAUUUUGUUGGCUUCUAGGAUCGACGUAAUGAUUAAUAGGGAUAGUUGGGGGCAUUAGUAUUCAAUUGUCAGAGGUGAAAUUCUUGGAUUUAUUGAAGACUAACUACUGCGAAAGCAUUUGCCAAGGAUGUUUUCAUUAAUCAAGAACGAAAGUUAGGGGAUCGAAGACGAUCAGAUACCGUCGUAGUCUUAACCAUAAACUAUGCCGACUAGGGAUCGGAUGAUGUUAAUUUUUAAUGACUCAUUCGGCGCCUUAAC